UCGUUCAUAGAUUUCAAUUCCGGUUGACACUAACAUUGCUCGUCACUAUUUGUUGUUGUUCGUUACCGUUCGUCGUAAGUCAUCUUUGCUGGCUUCAUCUCCAAAUGAGCACCAAGAGUGCUUUGUUUCACCCCGUUUUAUCACUGAAAAUUUCGAAAGUUGCUGGAUCUGAUUCGAAGUCCUCGUGACGAUAUUAAAAGAGUGUUGACAAGUUCCAAAGCCAGUUCACGCUUGCUUCAUUAUCAAUUGUGACUAAAAUCUCUUUUCAUCAAGAUUUGUCUCCUCCUCUUAUCAAUUUUGAAGCCAAAACGAAACCCCAGAAUGGACUUCCUCAAGCAAGAACUACUCAAGAAGCGCCAAAUCCUCAUCGAAGAAACCGGCGGCCGGCUCAUCUUCAAGCGCUUCGUGAUUGAGCAGAAGCAAAUCCAAAAGAUUCACGAGCAAAAGAAGCGCGAGCUCGAGGCCAAAUCUCACCGCCAAUCCUCCUCCUCUGACGCUGCCUCCAAGCCCAAUCCUCCUCCGCCAUCUGCGUUGGGGGGCAAAUCGAAUAGGGUUUCGAUUUGGGGUUGGGGUUGACUUAGGGUUUUCAAUUUGGGAAAUUCCUUAUAAUUUGCAAUUUAGCGCUUAUAUUUUGGGCAAAAUACGUAAACAACAUCGUUUUGGGCUACAUAUGUUGACUGGGCAUAUCGGUGAGCCACGUCAGACGGAAAAAUUAAUAAAAAAUGGUCACGUUGGAUUUCCGGCGA